CGUAGGGUGCGAGCGUUAAUCGGAAUUACUGGGCGUAAAGCGUGCGCAGGCGGUUUAGUAAGACAGGCGUGAAAUCCCCGGGCUCAACCUGGGAACUGCGCUUGUGACUGCUAAGCUAGAGUACGGCAGAGGGGGGUGGAAUUCCACGUGUAGCAGUGAAAUGCGUAGAGAUGUGGAGGAACACCAAUGGCGAAGGCAGCCCCCUGGGUCGAUACUGACGCUCAUGCACGAAAGCGUGGGUAGCAAACAGGAUUAGAUACCCUGGUAGUCCACGCCCUAAACGAUGUCAACUAGGUGUUGGGAGGGUAAAACCUUUUAGUACCGGAGCUAACGCGUGAAGUUGACCGCCUGGGGAGUACGGCCGCAAGGUUAA
rnacentral:rRNA from 1 species